AGUGAACGCUGGCGGUAGGCCUAACACAUGCAAGUCGAACGGCAGCACAGUAAGAGCUUGCUCUUACGGGUGGCGAGUGGCGGACGGGUGAGGAAUACAUCGGAAUCUACUUUUUCGUGGGGGAUAACGUAGGGAAACUUACGCUAAUACCGCAUACGACCUACGGGUGAAAGCAGGGGAUCUUCGGACCUUGCGCGAUUGAAUGAGCCGAUGUCGGGUUAGCUAGUUGGCGGGGUAAAGGCCCACCAAGGCGACGAUCCGUAGCUGGUCUGAGAGGAUGAUCAGCCACACUGGAACUGAGACACGGUCCAGACUCCUACGGGAGGCAGCAGUGGGGAAUAUUGGACAAUGGGCGCAAGCCUGAUCCAGCCAUACCGCGUGGGUGAAGAAGGCCUUCGGGUUGUAAAGCCCUUUUGUUGGGAAAGAAAAGCGGCAGGUUAAUACCCCGCUGUUCUGACGGUACCCAAAGAAUAAGCACCGGCUAACUUCGUG
rnacentral:rRNA from 1 species